ACAGUGGUGGUCCACUGGUAGAAUGCUUGCCUUGCAUGCGGGAGACCUGGGUUCCAUUCCCGGCCAAGGCA
rnacentral:tRNA from 1 species